rnacentral:rRNA from 1 species
UACGUAGGAGACGAGCGUUGUCCGGAGUUACUGGGCGUAAAGCGUGCGUAGACGGUUGCGUAAGUCAGAUGUGAAAGCCCCGGGCUCAAUCUGGGAAUUGCAUUUGAGACUGUGUAGCUAGGGUGCGGAAGAGGGAAGCGGAAUUUCCGGUGUAGCGGUGAAAUGCGUAGAUAUCGGAAGGAACACCAGUGGCGAAAGCGGCUUCCUGGUCCAGCACCGACGUUCAGGCACGAAAGCGUGGGGAGCAAACAGG